CCCUCUGCUUUACUCCACAUCGUACCUACCAACCUUUCUCUAAUCAUUUAGCUCGUCAUUGUAUCCAUAUCGUAACAACUUGCAUCCCAUUCAAAUUCAUUCCCUGAUCUGGAUUGCCCCUUUGUUCUCCCUUUUGGAUUCAUGGGGUGCGUAUGGUUAGUUUAAAUUUUCUUCAAUUUAUUAUGCACAGAAGGUGUUUGUCAGAUUGUCUAUGUGAUGUUUUGUAGCUAUUCACUUAAUGUGAAUUCUACUUUGCAAAAUUAAUUCCUCUAGAAUACUUUUGUUGCAUUUAUCUUCUAGGUCACCAGCAAUUUAGCACUAGACAGGACAUGAGGUUGUUCUCCCUGGUGGAUAAAUUAGCAUGUCACAUGCUACUCAAAUUUUUUGUAUGGUGCAAUGGACUCUAGAGCUGUAGCAUGUAGAUCCUAAUCAGUCAUGUAUUGACUAGAAGAUGUAAAUGCUGCUCUAUUGAUUAGCAGAUAGGUUGUUCUAUUUCAGAAACCAUGUCACAGCUCAAACGUGAGUUAUCCCUGUGUCAAAUGUUUUUUGUUCUCCUCUAUUUUUCCCACAAGAUUGUAGGAAUAUUCAGAACAACUAACCAUUGAUAGCACUCAGUUCACCGUAAGAUUGAAUGAAUAUUCAGAACUAACUAUUGAUAUUUUCCUUGUAUGGUUUGGUAUGUUUUGAAGGGCAAUACAGAUAUAAUUUUGACAUAUCUCCUUGGUAUGGUAUAGAGGCACAGAGGGAUCCAGCAAAUUGUUGUCUUGGUAUUUUCUUUGUUGAUUACUAGUUCAAGUUUGCAGUAAUGAGUUGAUUGAGAAGUGUAGAACCCAUAGUUUGUUGGCUGAAGGAUACUUGUUCUUCAUACAAGACCUAUAUAUGUUGGCUGAGAGAUACCUGUUCGUAUAACUAGAGUUUAAUUUUUUUUUUUGAUAAACAAGUUGCGAUGACUUUUAUUUGUGAAUAUAACUAGAUGAGUUCCUGUUCAGAAUUCAGAUAUGCAACUUUUUUGUGUUUAGAGAUGUAAAGGUUCGGAUGUGCAAGCUUCUUAUUAAAGGGUGGAUGAGAGUGUCACUUCCAUAUUUGCAAUAUGAACUAGCCUUUAGUUACUUUUUUGGAAUCCUAUCAGUAUCCCAUCUUUUGAAAUUGCACGCAUUGAACUUAGGCAUGCACCAUUCAGUAUUGUUAUAUCUAUCUAUGUAGUAGCUGCUUUUACAGACUUAAGGUUCCUGGUUGUUACAAUUUAAUAUGGUGUUGGUAUGUUGCUAUUUCUGUUUCAGAGAGUCUACCUAUUGGGAAAUCCUAGGUUCAGUACUUUAUGGUGUUGUAUGUUGCUAUUUUUGUUCUUACGAUUUUCUGUUCUUGAUUUGCACAAGGAUGCUAAGACUGCCUCACCUGAAACUUUACUGCCAUCACACCAUCAACCACCAGCAAGACGCACAUGAAACAGUAAGUUGGAUGCUCUUGUGCUUGCAGCUGGCCUGUUCCACGAAGACCUCGAUCUAUGGCCUUUAGUGUGUAAAUUUUGUUUUAGUUUCAGAGUGCACACAUUUUACGUUCUGGAGCACAACAAUAAUUUUAUUUUGCAGCUUCUGCAAACAAAAUACAAGGCUUGCUGUUUUCACGGAACUUUGCAAUACAAUGAAUUUUCUCCUAACCAAAGCUUGGUGCUUUUUUUUAUCUCUUGGUGUCAACUUUGCAAUUUGGAUUUCAGGAAGUAAACUGUAACAAGCUGCAGGAGAUUUUUAUUUCAGAAAAUAAAAUUGAAGGAGAGCAAGGAGCUUGCUGCUGGCGCGUCUCGGAGGAAGGAGCAAGGAUCUGUAGCCGAUAAUGGCAGGCACAGCAGGGUUAGCUGCAUAGGAAAUAGGUUGUGAUAGCAAAGACUUAUUCCUAGAGCUGCAAAAUCUGUGUGUUGUAUUAGUAUUCGGUUCAGGCGAGAUGCCAAACUUGUUGACCCUGUUCUCUUCGUGGUUGCUGUCUCUUUGAUUCUAGGUUGUAAACCGUAGUGAUGUGUUUCCUCAGGUUUUUAAAUUUAGGGGCCUCAAUGACAACGAGAGCUAAUAUAAGGCAUUUCCUUAAGUUUUUGUGUUUCUUUA